GUGAUGUGAACGAGGUUUAUAAAUACAGGCUGGUCUAAUGGAGCCCAACGAGACCGCCAGAGGAUUAGUGCCUUGUCCAACAGUACUCGACUUGUUGGUAGAGCCCUAAUGACUCAGGGAUGCUCCAAGGGAAAGGUUAGCUACACCUCUACUCCACGUGGUCCCCCUCCAGGUCCAAGACUGAUGGAGCAGCCUCUGUCUGUUUGGGACAUUGUCAGUCAUAAUGGUGGACACAAAAGAGAUUAUGGCAAACCAUGUUUCCUCUCCUACAAUUUCUGCUCACUUCUCUCCACAUUUCAUUGACCAGAGCAAGUCACGUGACCAAGCCUGAUUCAAAAUAGGCUGGAGCAAGGAGGAGCAGCAAACAUAACAUUCCCAGUUUACAGCUGAGGAAAUUAAGCUUCAAGUUGCCCAAGUGUAUAGAAUGAAUCAAUGGCAGAGGUUGAACUCAGGUCAGUAAUCACCACCACAUCCUUAACCACGUGCUUUCUUACAUCUUUCAUUAAUUGACACCUGCCUAGCUUUUCAGUUUCUCCACUUUUUACAUUCUACAAUGGUGUCAUACCAUGUAUCUGCAGUUCCCAGAAUAGUACUGCAUUAUGCAAUAGACGAACUGGUAUAUGCUGAAUAAAUCAUCAACACAGGGGCAUGAAUAUAUUUUUAGAGUAUUUAUUUUUUAAAUGAGGAGAACAUGGGAAAAAUCAGAAAGACUUCCCUACAUGUAAUUUUAUAGUUAGCAUUAUUUUUAUUUUGAAUUUCAAGUGAGAGAGCACUAUAAUAUUUUGGUGCAUAGAGACUGUAAAUUCCUUAAUCUAUUUCUACAAACAAGCCAUGGUGUCCCUCAUUGUGUUCUUUGCACAAAGAGCCCCUUCGGUUUAGAACAUUUACCAUGCCCAACCCUAUCCUUCAUCUAACUCCAGGACUUACCUUAAAAGUCACUUUCUCCAGGAAACCUUCCUUGACUGGGCUGAGUGUUCACAGUGUUUAUCUCUGUUACAAUUACAUCAUGUUGUAUUAUUAAAAGAUUAGGUUCCUUGAAGGCAAAAGCUUUUUUUCAUCCACUGUUUUAUUCCCAAAAUAUAACAUAGGAUAGAUGAUACCUUUUUAAAGUCUAUCACUUUUUUCCUACAUUAUAAUUACCAUUUUUGAAAUGUUGAUUGACACUUGUCUGACUCUCAAGGUGCCAUGAAGUGAAAUAUUAGUCCACAAGAAAGGCGGGUUUUUUGUUUUUUUUUUUAAACGGACUUUCUUUGAUAUUUGUAAAUCUCCCAGAGAAAGAGGAAAAAAUAAAAUGAACUAGUUUAAAAAAAAAAAAGAAUUACAGGGUUUUUGUUUGUUUUGCAUUUUAAGGAGCUAGAAAGGUAGAGGAGGCUAAAAGCCGUCUCUACUCAUAUUUCCAAGCACCUGACAAAUUUCUACAGUAAUGUCCUCUUAAUUUGCUCACACUUCCCAUAUUCAGAGCUUUGAGUAGCGUCCUCCCACAUUGAUUCUGGAUUUGUCCAAGUGAUUUGCUUUACUAGUGAGAUUAAGGUAAAUAUUAUGAGAUAAAAAUAAAUGUGAUGCAAGCAACAACUAGAAAAGUGCUUGAAUGCUGAGGCUGCCAUGUGAUGAGGUCCCAGUAAGAUCCAGCCUGACAACCACCAGGCAUGUGAGUGAGACCAGCCUAAACCAACCCACCUGCACAGGUAGUGCAAACCAAAACAACUCCCCGGCAACUCACAGAAUGGUGAAAAGUAAUAAAUGUUUUUAAGCCACUAAGCUUGGGGUAGUGUACAUUGAUACAAAGCCUAACAAACACACACUGAGGCUCGCGACCUCUGUUGACAUAUAUUUUUCUUAUAAAACAGCUUGUACUUCCAUUCAUUCAACCAAUAUCCAUAGUCAAUUUACUUAUAUAAGAAUAAAUUCUUUUUUAAAAAAUGAAAUUAAAGUAACUCAUUGCAUCAAAGGAAAUGCUGAAUAGGCUUCCAAGGCAACAGCAACCAUCAAAUCUCUAGGAAUCAGAGCUGCCAAAACUUGUUCAGUCAUGGGCUUUUCCUAUAGAAUGCUCCUGCAUUCAGCUGACUCAAUAACAAUCACCCACCCUGGGUGUUGAGAUACAAAUUAUCAAGAUAGAGAAUCUAUUUGACUUUGCUUAAGUAUAUGCCUAUCACUUUGAGUAAAGAAGAGGGAGUUAUUACAAAUAGAAGUUGGGAGAUCACUUGGCAUGCUAAAAGUUGUGACUAUAAUACUUUAACAAGAACCAGAUUCUAAUUCUUUUUCUUUAAUAAACUAUUUAACUUUUUGCAUGUAAUUUUCCAGAAGGUAGAUACUAAUUUAUAUGAGUUGGAGAGCUGUAUGUUUGAAAGACAAAUUCAAAUCACAAACAGACAUACAAGUACACAAAACACCAAAACAAACCUAGUGCAAAUUAUCAUUAUAAGACCUUCUGGGAGCUGAAAAAGCAAUAAUGAUCUUACGAGGUCUUGCUUGGGUUUUUCCAUCAACUUCAGAUUCUUUAGAUUCACACUGUGUUCUGUUUCCUCUGAGUUUCCCUAACCCUUACAGCCUCUACUCCCUUCUUCUUCUUGUGACUUCUUCUAAUACUUAACUGACCAGCUACUUCUUUAUAUGAUUUUAUUUUUGCCAAGUAAAUUUUAAUCUGUUUCAGAUAAGAAUUCAGUUUUUAUUUUUUGUAUCCUUUUAUAUGAUUAGUAUUUUAUUCAAUAACUGUUUAAAAGUAUAGAAACUGAAUAGAAGUUUAAGAAUAACCUAAUUUAGUAUCUUCAUAUUUACAGAUGACAAAAUUGGGGUCUGGGCAUGUGCAAGGACUUUUCCAAAGUCAGCUGGAAAGCUAAUAGAAGAAACAAGUUACCUGCUGUAAGACCCAGAGCCAGAUUCAAUUCAAGCUUUGUUAAUUGACAGAAUGUGAUAGCUAUUUAAUUCAGGCUUUGUUAACUGACAGAAUGCAAUAGCUAUGUAAUUAAAAAUAGACAAAAUAGUAAAAUUAAAAAGCUAACCACAAAAUAGCAAUAUUAAAUCACAUUAUGCAUUAGUUCAUUUCCUCAAUAUUUGGGCUAUAAAUAUAUGAAUAUGUUAACAAAAAAUGUAAAAUAGAAUGUCUCUAAUAAAGGAUACAAAUAAUAGAUACAAAUGGCCUUGGACAUUUUGGUAAUUAUGAUUUGGUAGGUAUGAGAGGCAAAAUACACAAGACUGUUGGUCCUCCUCCUUUUUUUAGUAUAUUUUUCCAUUAAUAUAAAGUUAGGAGAAAGUUUUAAAAGGUUUAUAGAUGGCCCAAAGGCAUGAAUACAAUAAAUGCUGGCCUUCAUUUGUGCUUUUUCAUGAAAAAUAUUUAAACUGAAUAGGAAAGAAAUUAUUACACGAGAUUUGUUCUUUCAUUUUCUCAAAUAAUGGAUGUCUUUAAAACCUUUUUACCUAAUUUUAUUGACUUUGUUUUACUUUUUGGCAAUAAGAUUACUAUCUCAUAUAUGUGUGUGUGUGUAUAUAUACAUUAUAUUAUAUAUAUAUAUAUAAAAAAUACAGGAGAUUCUUGAAAAAUAGCAACUUAGCCAUAAUUCCCUUUCCCUCUCUUCCAGCUCUAAGACAUUUGCCUCCCUUGAGCCAAAUCCUUGCCAAGGCCUAUAGGAAGGUGGAGAAGGUGGGACCUUGACCUCUGUUGGGGACUCUGCUAUGAGAAGUUGGUCCACGACUUGCUCCCCAAUGGAUUAAGCAAACAAAUGAAGAACAGUGGUACUGGUGGCUUCUGAACCUCCUUAAUCCUCAAUAGAGUUUGGUUUUCACAGACCUCUGGGAAGACACCCUUCCUUCAACAAAGUUGGUAUGGCACCAUAUGAGAGAGUCUUAGAUUUCAUUGACUCCCAAAAGUCCAAGAAGUUUAAUGGGGAUAAUGAGUAUUCCCUGCUCAUACUAGUUAUCUGUUGCCAUCUAAUAAAUUACUCCAAACCUUAGGGGCUUACUUAAAGCAACAAACAUUCAUUACAUCACAGUUUCUGUGUGUCAUGAUUUCAGGAGCUGCUUAGCUGAGAGGUUCUGGCUCAAAGUCUCCUGUGAAGUUGCAGUCAAGAUGUCUGCUGGGACCCCAGUCAUUUGAAGCCCUGUCCGGGUCAGGAGAAUCUAGGUCCAAAAUGGCUGUUGCAGGAGUCCUCAUGCAUACCAUGUGGGGCUUCUUCAUAGAUGUUCGAAUGUCCUCAUGGCAUGGCCACUGGCUUUCCUCAAAGCAAGCAGUCCAAAAGAGAGUAAGAUAGAGCCCACAAUGUCUUUUAUGAAUUAGCCUUGGAAGUCUAACACAGUUACUUCCACCACACUGAUUAGUCAUUAGGUACAGCUCACAUUCAUGGGGAGGAAAAUCAGGGCUUGUCUUUAGAUGGAAGAUGUGUCAAAGAAUUUGUGGACAUAUUUUAAAAUCAUAGCACUACUGUUGAUGUAAUAAGUCCGUGACUCCCCCAGGAGUCUCACAGAGAAUUGACUGCUUGCCCACAUAUACUACCUUUGUGGGUAGAGACUCCAGUAGUGUGCUGGUUAAUGUUCAACCAGUGGCUUUCUAUAAAACAAAAUGUAUGGAUACAUAUAUAUGUUCUGUUUUACUGAUAUGAAGAAUGUGUAGCACAGAAUUUACAAAUAAUAAGAUAUACAGUAUUAUUUAUUGUAAAUUCCAUAGAACCUAUUGUUUUUCACAAAAGGUUUUAGUUUAUUUUUCCCAAAUGCUUGUAUCGGUAACAUUUUCCAUAUCACUUUUUUUAUGUCCAGACAAUCAACAAAAUAGUGAAAAAGCCCAGCCUUGUAGCAUUUGCCAGUUAUUGUGUAAAUGUCCCCACCAUGGUGGAUUUCGUUACCACUAUGAGAUCACAGAAUGCAGAAUUGGAAAGAGAUUCACAGCAGCACCCCAUUAUACUAUAUUUUCACCAUACAAAUGCAGUUGAUGUAAAUUAGCUGAGGAGCAUAAAUAAUAAUAAAAUGAAGUUAAAUAAUUAGGAAAUGAUUUUGAAAAUUGUGUUGGUUUUUAAUAUAAGUAAGUUUAUAUGUCAGCUUUAAUAAAAUCUGUCUGUAACAACUAGCUUGAAGAAUUCUUGAAAAAUUAAUAAUCAGCUCUCAUAGGCUAGUGACAACUGGCUUCAGCACACCGCUGACUAGAAACACCUUUGCCUUCUACCACAUGUGGAAUUCCCAGUAUUUCAACAAUCAGAAUUGAGC